AUAUGAACUGAGGACGGACGCAAGCCAAGUGAUUGUUGAUGAAUCUCUGAUCGUUGAAAAGUGUGUUCCAUCGUUUGCAAACUGUUCUAAAGCGUGUGAGAGAUAGAGGUGGAACACGCAAAAGUAUCUCAUCCUCCAACUCCAGUGGAAGCUUCGUCGGCAUCGUUAUUUUCUUUCGGCCACAGAAGACGAAACCUAAUUUCUAGCAAGGUUUAACUUUGCUUCAUUGUAUUUAGAGAUAAGUUGGAGAGUAGACAGUUUUUGCCAAAAUAAUUUGAGAAAUGGGUAUUUUUUUUAGAAAUAGGUGGAAUGAGUACUUUUAUCUCUCCUCUGUAAUAGAACUCCCCCUCUAAUACAGCUUUUAGUAAAAUACAAUUUUACCCUGUUGUUGGUUUGAUAAAAUAAACUGGGCCUCAUUAAAACCAGCCCAAUAACAUCUCCAAUUUUGAAUUGCUCAUGGGCUUGACAUCUCCAAUAUAUUAUCAUUGUCAAAUAAAAGGAUAAACCCUACAAUUUCAGAAGCAAAUCUCAGAUACAUUGUCAAAUUCGUAACAAUAUGGAAGGUAUGUUUAUCAUAAAACUCUUUAAAGUUUCUGAAUUUUUAAAGGUGUACGUAAAGUAUUUUGGUGUACAUACUGUAUACCAAUCAGAU
rnacentral:sRNA from 1 species